rnacentral:misc_RNA from 1 species
AACCUGCUACAUGAACCACGGACCCAACAGCACAGCUAUUCCCCCGGUGUCCCUUGAUCGAUUCGCUUGCGUCGCUCUUCCUUUCCCUUGUUGCUCUGUCCCGGUAACGCGUCGCACUGCUUCUUGGCAUUCUUCUCAUCGGGUUUCAGUCUCUCCCCCACUCCUCCCCAUAUUCCUCAGCCGCUUUCGGCCCACGUUUCCUGCUGUUUCUCUUUACACGAAACGAUAUAUAUAAAAUCAUCGGCAAGCCAGAAGCAGUGGCCCCACUCGUGCACGUACGGCGUGUCUCGCUGGUUUCAAGCGGCCAAGAGCAAAGCAAUAUAAUAUUGUUUGGUGGGCUGUUUAGUAACCUCACGUGCCUGUCCUUCUCGUCAUACUAGACACUGUCACCACCGCCACCCGUCCCGUGCCUCCUCUUCCUUCCUCCGCCUAACCACCAGCUUCCACGCAAGCAACUGCGCUCUGUGCAUAUGUCUGAGCUCGUAAAGCUUGAAGUGGGCCAUCAGGACUAUGCCUGGGGCAAGGAUGCCGCGUCCAGCUUCGUGGCAAAGAUGAAGGGCUUGACGAACGACAAGUCCGGCAAGAUGUUUGCGGAGUUGUGGGUAGGCACGCACCCCAACUGCCCGUCCAGGAUCGCCGACGGCGACGCGCAGCUGCUCGAGGAGUUCCUGAAGCAGCCAGAGAAUAAAAAGAAGUACUUUUCAGAAGCUCACCAGGCCACGACCUUCCGUGACACAGUGCCCUACCUGCUGAAGAUUCUGUCGAUUCGCACGGCGCUGUCCAUCCAGGCGCACCCGUGCAAGAAGCUUGCCGAGAAGCUGCACGCAGCGAGGCCGGAUAAGUACAAGGACCCGAACCACAAGCCAGAGCUCAUUUGCGCCUUGACCCCCUUUGAGGCACUCUGCUGCUUCCGACCGCUCGGCGCCAUCAUCGCGUAUCUGAAGCGCAUCCCGGAGCUGGCGGAGCUUGUGGGCGCCGACGCGGUGCUGGGUCAGUACAUGAUGGCGCCGGAGAGCGCGCUGCCUGCAACGGACAGCGACGAAGAGAAGCAGUCGCUGAAAGCGAUGAUAACGAACGUGUACGCUGCUUCGGACGACAUCGUCACGAAGGCGCUGCGCCUGCACCUCCAGCGCAUCGAGGAGACGGGCGCGCAGUGUGCCGAGGACGAGCUCUUUGUUCGCAUUUACAGGCAGUACCCGGAUGAUGUCGGCUGCUGGAUGGUUUACUUCCUCAAUUACGUACAGAUGGUGCCCGGGGAGGCUCUCUUCUUAUCGGACAGCGAGCCGCACGCGUAUAUCAGCGGCGACGGUGUCGAGAUCAUGGCAUGCAGCGACAACGUCGUGCGUGCUGGACUCACGCCGAAGUGGAAGGAUGUGCCGACGCUCAUAAGCAUGCUGAAGUACGACACGACCGGGCUUGCGUCUGCCCGCCACGAGAAGAAGAGCAGCGAGGACGCGGCGCAGUGGCAGGUGCAGUACUACCGGCCACCGGCACAGUUCCCGGACUUUUCGCUGUACCGCAUGCAGUACGAGCACGCUUCUGGCAAAGGGACGACCUCCGUGACCUUGCCGACGAUAGGCCUGGGCUUCUGCUUGGAGGGGUCUGCCAAGGUGAACGGGACGACGGUAAACGCCGGCGACUGCUUUGCGGUGCCGUACGGCAAGGUGACGUGCCAAGCUGAGGGAGCGAAGGCGCUUGUGUUCGUUGCGUCGACCAACGACUUGAGCGACAGAUAGCCGAGCUCCCUUUAGCAUUGACGCUGGGUGGUGCGUGCUGAGCGACCUCCGUGACAAGUAAAUGAAAGACGUCCGUCGCUGUCUUGCGCCAGGGUUCAAGAGGUAGAACACGGUGAUUCAAGUACUGUCCCCACCUUGUGUUUUUCUUUUUUUUUUCCACCUCGUAGUCCACCGUGUUGUACGCGCUUGCGGAUGCGUGUCUGUGUGGACACGAGAGCGCAUGCCUCCUUGGCGUUCUAUUUGACAGACAACGUGUCACCUCCCACACGUGCACAGAGGCUCACGGCAGCUGAUAGGCUCGCUCGUGAUGAGAGCACGCACACAUUCUCGGCGCACACCUCUCUCUUCCCCUCGCACACCCCAAGCCUUACCUAAGCUCUACACACACGAAAAAAAAAGUUUCUCACGAUUCUCUUGCUUUCUUUGGCGCGCCUUCUGUCUUCCUCUCAUGCUCUCUCUCUCUCUCUCGCUGGUUCUCUCACCCUUUUGUAGUCUUCUUGUCGGCUCCCUUUUGCUUUGCUGUUGUUGGCUGCUAGUGUUGUUGCCCAUCUCGCCUAGUGUGUGCUCGGGCGCUGGCAACGCGCGCAGUCUCCCGUCUCGUUCUGUUGUCCUGUUUUUUUUUUCUGCAGAUGCCUUCUCUUUCUUUUUGUACAGCGCGCCUGCGGGGUGUGAAACUCAUGAAGGUGUCGGGUCGAGGGCGGAUUUCAUUGUCGAUGUUUUUUUGUUUCGUUGGGCUUCUUAACGCGAAUAGUCCGCGUGAGGGAAGCGAAUCGGAGCAAGGCGGAAACCGAUGAGGGUGGAGGACGCGUCGCGGUUGGUGAGUGGGGACGCGUGUUGUCUGAGGACCACAUCUACUCGUCACUAUGAAAACGAGGAUGCGAGGGGCAUACGUAUGCAGCAGCGAGUGAUGCGCGGGUGCCCUUCCUUGUCGUUGCACUUGAAACGUGAUUCUUGCUCGGCCUCCGAUCUCCUUUGCUGAGCUGUGUUAUUAUUGUCUGCCCAUGUGUUUUCUCUGUUCUUCUCCCUUCCCUCUCUCAG